UUUCUCCAUCCUAGUAAUCAAAUUUGAGCAAAAUCAAAUGGGGCUUUCUAUGAAAGUACCUUUUGUUGAUCUGAACGAGCUGGUAAUUUACAAAAUACCCUUCCUUUGUGAGGAAGGCUAAAGAAAAAAAGAAUCAGUAGCUUUUAAAGCUGGGCCUUAGUGGGACUCUAAAUGCAAUGAAAGCAGUCUGUGUUGAGAGACUGAAAUGCAUUUCAAAGCCAGGCCUGAUUCGGGGUACAAGGAAGAACAGACCUAUGUGCAUUUUGUAGGAAGAAAACUGUGAAUGGAAAAAGGAGAAGGGGAGAGAAACGGGGGAAAUCUGGAUAAUACAUUAAAGUAACCAUAAUUUUGGAGAUGCAUUCAUCUUAUUGAAAAUAUAUUUCCUCAUGGUUGUGAUUCCUCUUCACUCUUUUGAAUUUGGAAGGAUGGCAUACACAUCUGAAAAAUACCACUACUUCCUUCAUUGGACUGCAAGGUAUUUCUGUUUGGAAAAGUAAUGGAGUCCAGUCAACUUCAUUGAUCGCCAAGGACUGUCAAAAUUAUAAAACUUGCUGUGGAGCUCUGACAUGCCAGAAGCCGCUAGAAAAAGAAGUUUGACAUUCAGAAACUUAUCAAGAGGUUCUACUCUUUGGAUAGAGACCAAAAUCAUACUUUGAAUGAUAUGCAAUGCAAGACUCCCAAGAUUCUGGGCAGUGGCAGGGAGGUGCAGCUUCUAGUCUGCCGCAUGAUCACAAUGUCAGCUGGUCCCUCUUCUCAGGUGUAGAUCACCUAUUAUAAUUUUACCUAAUUUUGAUACUCUGAUAAGGAAAGUCCCAGGACUUAUCAGCUGGGAUAGGCCUCACUUACAAGACAGCUCUGUUCAGUAUUUGGAAGAAAGCCUGACAGGUUUCUUCGGAAAAGUGGCCAUCCAUGGAAUGAAUGAAAUGUUCUCUUUCUAUUCCACCUCUAGAGACCAUCAAAAAACAAUGGCUCAUAAUGCUUUUAGAACAGAAACUGAAGUUGUAUACUGUGCAUAUGUAAUCCUACACAAGAGGAAGGCAAUGUUUAAAGCUGCUGUCACCUCUUAGGGAAAAAACUGGAAUUCUGAGUCAAGGGAUUGCAGUGGCAAAGCUAGGCUAGGUCUUGGAGGCUGGUGUAAGGCGAUGUGGGUGAAGGCAGGAGGCUGAUGGAAAGACUGGGGGGAAGAAAAGCCGAAAUGGAUUCACGGUGCCUUGGAUGAAGGACGAGAGGGGAACUGCAAGCUCCUUCAACUGGUUCUGUCCGGUGAGAAGUGAUCAAGCUUGGGCUGACAAGAGGCUCAGGGAGCCCUCACGUUCUUUCGCUUUUUUACCUGCCAAUCAAACUGCUACAAGACAACACCCUGAUCUGGCAUGGACAUCGCGGGUCCAAGCCUGUAGCCCCAAAUCGGAUAAUCUCUGCAGCUGAUAACAAGCAAAAGAGAAGCCAGGCAACAGCCAUAUUAAAGAAGAAAACAAUCAACUCUGAGGAAGAAAUGUAAUGAAUUGAGUGCUGUCAGAGAUGUCUUCUGUUUGAACAAUCUGCGAUGGGCUGAAUGGCAGGGACUCCCUCAUCCAGUGCAGAUCCAACUUAGAAAUAAUGUUUCAUUCAAGAUAAGGCUCGUGGCUUAGGAGAUUGUGACCUGGCUUGCAUCAUUCUAAGACUUCUAUCGUCUGUUUUCAAAACCCAAGGAGGACCUCCUUUUCUGUGUGAUAGUUCCUCAUGCUUUGCCAGCCACUGGGUCUUUAAGGAAGCUUGCCAAGAGUUCCCGGCUGGGAAGGACAGUUCGAGUUCAUCAUAGACAAUGAGCUGGCACCACAGUUUAAGUGACUCACCAACCUGGUUGCCCACUUCAAAAUGUCAAGAACCACACUAUCUAAUUGAAAGAACUGUGUUUUAGCAAAGUGUAAUUGGAUCGCCUGGCAAGAUCAUCUCAAACUAUGUCUCUGACCUUGCCUUUCAGUGGCUAUUUUGAGCACAAGAGGAGAAAGGAAAUGAUUCCUGAAUUAUAUCUUGUUUUUAAAAAUUAAGAUUAAUUAAUACUUGGUUUUAUGUUCAUUCCAUUGUAGGAACUUAGUGAUUAUUACAAAACAGUCAAAAUAGGUCAUAGCAAAAUGAACGUUUAAGAUUAGGUUAAAACAUUCCUCUGAAAUUUUAGUAUUCACUUUUGAAGUGUCAAUUACUAUAUUUCUGUAAUUUCUCAUUUUUUUCUUGGCUUAGAGUCAAGAUGAAAAAUGAUAUUUGAAUCAAAGACAUUGUUUUGUUAUAUAGCCACUCCUUUCUAAAAUGCAAAUCCACCCUCCCCUCACCAAUGCUUUAUUCUUUGUGCGCGCACACACACACACACACACACACACACACACACACACACACAGACAUACACAGAACCAGCACCCAAAUGGUAGAGGAGGUCCUUCCAAGACUUCUAGGACCUGGAUCAUGUAAGCAGUAGAUGAGAAAAUGAAGUAAGAGAUAUAGAGUAAUAACAAUAAAAGUCAAUGAUUUCAUUUUACAAAAAAGUCAUUGUGUAGUACUCAGAUAUUUUUAAGAGCAAGUAUUAUUAUGACUAAAGUAUAUUAUACUUCUAAAUUAUUAUGAUUCUCAUCUAAUUUCAAGCCACACAUAGGCGCCAUUUGAAAGCAUUUUGUGUUACAACCUAUCAACAAAAAUCAACUAAUAGUUUUAUAACGUGCAUAGGUUUACCCCAUGGGGAAUUAAAAUUUUUAUCUGCAAGUAUUUCUGUUGUUGUGAGACUUUAGGACAAGACAACAUUUGGUGUUAACAUAGAAGAAUAUUCUAUGGCUUUUUUAGCUUUAAAGUUCAUUACUCUAAAAUAAAGUACACGUGGUAUUUUUUUCUUCCUAGUGUUCUCUUAUUAUAUGUAGAGUAUUUUCGGUUGUUGUUUUUAACGUAUACAUUAUUUUUAUUAAGUCAUUUCAUAAAAGAUAAGAUAUAUACUAAUAGACCCUUGGUUUUCUCCUAAUUUAAUUAUUUCAAGUCAAGCAAAAUUGGGCAAUUUUCUUUCAGGAAAAAAAAAAUAUUGAGCAUGAUUUUGAGGUAAAACUGAUUAUUUACAGCAUCUUUUCUCUAAUAGGCUAACAUUUAUGAUGGAUCUUAUUUCAAAGUUGAUUAUUCUCAAAGAAAAGUGGAGAUAUUAGAAUUUCCGAGUAAAUUGCAUUGUUUUAAAAAGUACUUUAAUGCAUUGUUCACAUUGUUGCCAGCUAUUGACCAAAAAAGAGAAGAAGAAAAAAGAAAUAAAAAAAGCAGUAUCUGCUCCAAACGUCAAGUUUUGCAGUUUGAAAGACUUGUACAUUAUAAUUGUUUUUUUCUUUUUUGGAAAGCAGUAGUAAUUAAUACCAAAGGCAUAGACAAUUUAGGGCCAUAACCUCCCUUCCCCCCUCUCCACCUUUUUUUUUUUUUUUUUUUUUUUUUAACUUUAACCAUGAUAGGCAUCUCUGCAAGGUAGGUUUUAACAUAUUUUUUUCCUAAUUUUUUUCCCUCCAUUCAGUAAGAAGGAUAAGCUUUUAGAGUACCCAGUCACCGUGGUAACUGCCAAAAAAAUUCUCCUGAAGUUUGAAGAGGUCAGCUAGCAGGGUCAACAACCCUGGCCUCUCUCUGAGCUCGGUCUAGCAUGCCCCAGCCUGCGGUUGGAGUGUCAGGCCAGAUCUGACCCUGGGAGGUGGACCAUUCUGGCUCUGAUAUAAAUUUUUCGAGUCAGUUCAUGGCCUGGACUCUCCAGGUGGCCUCCAAAAUCGAUUUUGACCCCCUGACCCUGUCUCACGGAGGCAUAGCAUCCACCCUAAGUAAGGAUUUAGCCAGGAAUGACAGCUUUCCACUGAGUGUUAUUGGGGACAGUAUAAACAGUUUGGAAAGCAAGUAAGGAGGUGUGAGGGCUAGCAAUCAUUAAAAGCACAUUAAAAAACAAUUUUUAAAAAUCUUUAUUAGAGAAAGUUGUAAAUGCAUAUCUGUUACAGAAUUCCUGUGAUUUGUAGAGUUUUCUAGUCAGUUUUGAAUAUAAAUAGGUCACAUAUCUUUAUCUUUUUGCAUACUUUGUUACAAAUAUGCAAAUAAGAUAGGCAUACUUGCUACAAAAUAGGUACAGCAGGAAUGUAAUAUGUUCAGAAAAGGCAAACUGGUUAUUAAAACACAUUAACAGGUAAGGAGUUUCUAAUAUUUUAAAUACUAAAAUUUUACAUGUGUAUUUUGAAGUUUUUAAAAUGGAAAAAUAAAGAACCUUUAAAAAACCCAACAGUGUGGAAUAAAGAUAAACUUGUUGCACUCAAGGUACAUUUCUACUUUGUAAAGCAAGAAGCCAAUACACUCAGUUGGAUAAAAAUGAGAGAAAAAUUGUAAAUAUAGAGAGUUACAGCUUAUAGAGCUGAAGAGGAAUAAAACAAAAAAAAGUGUCUCUGAAUAACUUUAUGUAUUUUCAACAGUUUAAGAUAUCAGAAACUUGGAAAAUAAAUAUGAUAUAUAUAUAAAUCAUCA
rnacentral:lncRNA from 1 species